GAUGAACGCUAGCGGCAGGCUUAAUACAUGCAAGUCGAGGGGUAACAUGGUAGCAAUACUGAUGACGACCGGCAAACGGGUGCGGAACACGUACAGAACCUUCCUUUAAGCGGGGGAUAGCCCAUAGAAAUGUGGAUUAAUACCCCAUAGUAAUGCUGGUUGGCAUCAACUGGUAUUUAAGGAUUUAUCACUUAAAGAUGGCUGUGCGGCUGAUUAGGUAGUUGGUCGGGGUAACGGCCCACCAAGCCAUCAAUCAGUAACUGGUGUGAGAGCACGACCAGUCACACGGGCACUGAGACACGGGCCCGACUCCUACGGGAGGCAGCAGUAAGGAAUAUUGGUCAAUGGACGCAAGUCUGAACCAGCCAUGCCGCGUGAAGGAUGAAGGCCCUCUGGGUUGUAAACUUCUUUUAUCUGGGAAGAAACCACUUUUUUAUAAGGGUGUUGACGGUACCAGAGGAAUAAGCACCGGCUAACUCCGUGCCAGCAGCCGCGGUAAUACGGAGGGUGCAAGCGUUAUCCGGAUUCACUGGGUUUAAAGGGUGCGUAGGUGGGAAUGUAAGUCAGUGGUGAAAUCUCCGUGCUUAACAUGGAAACUGCCAUUGAUACUAUGUUUCUUGAAUUUUCUGGAGGUAAGCGGAAUAUGUCAUGUAGCGGUGAAAUGCUUAGAUAUGACAUAGAACACCAAUUGCGAAGGCAGCUUGCUACAGGGAUAUUGACACUGAGGCACGAAAGCGUGGGGAUCAAACAGGAUUAGAUACCCUGGUAGUCCACGCCCUAAACGAUGGAUACUCGACAUUUGUGAUACACAAUAAGUGUCUGAGCGAAAGCAUUAAGUAUCCCACCUGGGAAGUACGACCGCAAGGUU
rnacentral:rRNA from 1 species